UACAGAGGGUGCAAACGUUGUUCGGAAUUACUGGGCGUAAAGGGUGCGUAGGUGGGUCUGUAAGUCAGUGGUGAAAUCUCCGGGCUUAACCCGGAAACUGCCAUUGAUACUAUAGGUCUUGAAUAUCCUGGAGGUGAGCGGAAUAUGUCAUGUAGCGGUGAAAUGCUUAGAUAUGACAUAGAACACCAAUUGCGAAGGCAGCUCACUACGGGAUUAUUGACACUGAGGCACGAAAGCGUGGGGAUCAAACAGG
rnacentral:rRNA from 1 species